ensembl:lncRNA
AAACAUCACUUGCUCUAUGUCCUGUCUCUCUGUCUAACCCUGAGCCACCCAAUUCUGCUUUUUCUAGGAGUUCUGAAAACACUAAAUAAUACUGUUUCAGUAUGUUAGCUAACAGAAUGUACAGAUAUCUUAAAAAUCAGAAAUCAGAUAGGAUGUUUUCAAGUGGGGCUUUAGAAGGAAGGUUUCAAUGCUGGCAAUUAAGUUACAGGCCCCGAAUGGGGAAGGUGUGAGGUCCCGCACCUUUUCCCUAUUUUCCAGCUCAGGGUCAAUCUAGUCUUUCUCACGCACUUCCUGUCAAUAUUACUAAAUGAUUGCCCUCACUUCAGAAGUCAAUGGCAAGUUACCCACACUUCUUUCUGACUUGGCUGUGAAUUAGGGCUUCCCACAACCCCCUCUUCAGCCCUCCUCCACAGCCGAGCGGUCACAGGGCUGGCCUCAGGGAGCCACACAGCCCUGGGUUUCCUGGACAGCUGUGAAGAAGGAGCUCAUCAGGCUUCACAGCCAGGACCCUGGGGGAGCUGUUACGAGCACACCCAAGAACAAGCUCUCUCAGCAAUUUUCACUUACAGCAGCAAGGAGUCAGUUGGGAAAACACAUCUUCUUGGAAGGAGUUCUCAGCUUCUGAUUCCUCUCUUCUCAGCCCUUCACACACUCCCUGUCACAGUAAGAUAUUUCAAAAGCCAACCAAGAGGAUAUGGAGUCUGGAAUCUUGCUCAAACAAUCCUAGAAGGUGCCAGAAGCUUCUUUCUCCAAGAGGCCGCCACUUUGACUGCAGCCCCAAAUGAAUCUUCCUCAGAACUGUUUGUGAAAGUGGUUGCCGGCUGCCUGCUCCGGCCCCCCUUCUACAGCCGUGCCUCUCACCCCAUGCCCGCAGCCACAGCAGGCCGCUGCACCCGGGGUCCAGCUCCGGCCCUUACUGAGCCUUCAGAUCUCAGCUUAUGCCUCGGCUCCUCCAAAAGGUGGGCUGCCCUCAUCUCCUCCUCUCAGAAGGUCCCCUUUCCCCUAAAGUGGCAAGUCAAUGACAAAACCCCAGUGAGGCUCUCUCCCUACAUUUUGCCUCAUAGUGCAUAUUCUUCAUAUGACUAAAAUACCAUUUAAAGAGUGUCUGCUGUGUGCUAGACUGCUCAAUGCUGUACACAUAUGAUCUCCUUUAUUAUUCACCAGCAAAGUUUUAAGAGUGAUAUUCUAUCCCCAUUUAUGAAUCAAGAAGCUGAGAGUCCGGGAGAUUAAGUCCGUUGUCUGAGAUCUCAGACUCUUGAGAGAGUGGGGCCAGCACUCCUAACCAGUCGCUCUCGGCACCUGGAGUCCUCGAGGCGCCUUCAGCCAUCAUGUUCCACCUGCUGAAUGGAAUUUCCUUCCAGGGCCUGUCCCUAGGGCGUUGCCCCCACAGGGAGACUAGAGGUUCAGUCCAGACUUUCCUGGCCCCACCCUGAGCCACCCGCAGCCACCCUGAGGUAGGGGAGUUACUUCGCCUCUGUCCGUACAGGUUUUAUAAAUGUUCUAAACAACAAGGGGAAAAAGCAGCCAGUUCUUCCUCCACCUGCAUCCCAAAGCGGGAAGCCGCUGUUCAUGAGGCCUUCCUUGCACGAUGGACACUACCCGGAGCCGAGCUCUGGGCCCGCCCCCACCCUGGGCCGCCUCCUUCCUCCCAAGGAACGAUGCGGUGCGGUUCCCUGGGAGGGAAGGCUGCUGAAGAAAAUCAGGUUGACAUUCCUCCUGCGGCCUGCCAGAGACUCACGGCCUGAAGGAAGGAGGCGGUUGACCCCCUCAUGGUGAAGCUGUAAUAGACCCAGUUGUCACAUUUUCAUGACAAUUUCCAGAGACUGUUUCUUCCCAUGUGAUUUUUUAUCCUUUUAAUCAGGGAGGAACCUUCCCUGGAAGCCUCCAGCAGAUGUCCUUUCAUCUUUUAUUCGUCAGAACCGUUUUGCAAGCACACACUGAACAGUUCCUGGCCGGGAGAAUGAGGUCACUACAAUCAUCCUGAUGCUCCUGUCCUGGGGGCUGACCACCACUUUGAGGCACCUGCCAUGAGAGAAGCUCCCAGACACGAUCUGGUUCUGCCAGGAGGGAGGAAGGAGGGACUGGCUGGUGGGAGGGUACCAACGGGUCUCCUACACCACCUCACAUACCUCCCUCCUUCCAGAAAUUCCCCCAAGUUGGUGGAGCAGGAAGUCACGUUUAUAUAUUGUCUCAUAAUCUCACAAAAAGCCAUAACAUCGUGAUUUGAGAAAUGGGCAUCAUAGAAAAGGUAAAGCAGCAGAGCCACGGUCACUAAGUUCACAAGCGAAGGGGCUGAAUCGGAGCCGGGGCUUUCUAGCUCCCUGCAUGGCAGCUGCACUCUCCACACUCGGCCUCGGCCUCAUCCUCACCUGGGAUGGGCGAGGCAGCCAGGGUAAGGGCUGGCGGGCAGGCAGAGGGGCGUGGGGGAAGGAUGCGGCUGAGGGGCCUGGACAGGGCCUGGCUCUGAUGCUCAUGUUUGUGAAACUGCUCUUCUCUCAGCCUCAGUUUCCCUGUUAGUACAAGAGAGGGAGUAGACUCUGAAAUCUUCAAGGUUCUUUCUAGCUCAAAUAUCCUUUGAUUACAACCUUCUAAAAGAGGUCUGGGGCCCCAGAAAAACACAAAAAAGAACCUAGCACUUCUGUGGCUUGUCAGCACAGACGCCCCACGACCAGCAUCUGAGGGCUUCGGCUCCACCUAUUUUGGGCUCAUGAGUUCAUCCCGAGGCGUGUGCCAGCCCCUGUGGUUUCUCAUCUUUCCAUCCUGGUCUGUAUGACAAAAUGACUAAAAAUACCGAGCUCCCACAGGCCCGCCAUCCGGCUAACGCCCUCCCUUGAGUCAAUUUAUUUUUCAGUUUUGGGCAUGCUGCAGACAAGGGCCCUGACAAGCCACACUUGGCAGUUUCGACUCCCAGCAGCCCCACUCUGGUCCGUCAGUGCAGUCAGGUGGGAAGAGCACAUCCCUGCUCUGUCACUUUCCACUUUCCAGCUGGGUGAGUUCAGCAUGUCAGGAGCCUCGGAGCCUCAGUUUCCUCAUCUGGAAAAUGGGGAUAAUUAUUUCCAAUGUAUAACAUUGUGAGAAUUCAACAAGAUGACCUGGGUGAAGAGCCUAACCCAGACUGAGGGCUUGAGCCACAUCUGUUCCUAUUUCACCAUGACGCCUCCUCUCUCCUUGAUCCCUCCUAGAGGGUUCUGGCCUUGUGAUGGCUCAGACCUGGUGAUCCUGUUGCCCGCCUCCAAAUCUGAUGCGGGCUGUGUAAAGAAAACCCUUUCCUAAAUUGCUUCCUGAGACAGCCACAGAUGAACCAUGUAUGGUCACGGAGAGGAGGAAGGUGAUCAUGGGCAGGCCAGCAAAUCGCUCCACUCGGGUCUGUACGUGCCAUUUCACUGCACCGUCCCUGUGUCAGAGCCGCUCAAGUCAGCCAGUGCCUGGGCGCCUCCAGCCUCGCUCUUCUCUGCUGGUGAGUGCUGUGAGGCCCUCUGGAAGCCACAGUAAAACAUGAGCUAGAAGGCUGUCGGAUGGUCUGUCCACCGGAGAGCGCCAGCUUGGCGGAGUGGAGAACAUCUCAGCCUCCACCGCAAGGAGCCCCGUGAACUUGGGCAUAGGACUUAACCACCUGACUCUCAGUUUUGUCUUCUGCAUAAAGAGGAAAACUUGUACUUGCGUAGAGCAUGUGAGGAUCAGAAGAGACAGUAAACUCUCUGAGCUUCCGUUUUUGCUAUUUGUUUACUGAGUGGGGAUG